UACAGAGGUCCCAAGCGUUGUUCGGAUUCAUUGGGCGUAAAGGGUGCGUAGGCGGCGCGGUGAGUCGGGUGUGAAAUCUCGGGGCUUAACUCCGAAACUGCAUUCGAUACUGCCGUGCUUGAGGACUGGAGAGGAGACUGGAAUUUACGGUGUAGCGGUGAAAUGCGUAGAUAUCGUAAGGAAGACCAGUGGCGAAGGCGGGUCUCUGGACAGUUCCUGACGCUGAGGCACGAAGGCCAGGGGAGCAAACGGG
rnacentral:rRNA from 1 species